AUGGUGUCUUUUUCCCAUCUCUAAUCUCCCAUCUCCAUUUCCCAAAAUAUGGUGUCUUUUUCAUAAGCAAACGAAGAUUAAAUAUUCGCACUCAGAAGAAAGCCAACUGAUAAAAAAAGGGCAAAAAGCUCCUCCACAAAUACAAUGCCCGAUUCAGUAUGUAAGUUCUUUAGCUAAGGCCCAAGAUAGACACUUUAUGCGCGCAACCACUGGUCACUUAGAAGAAGACGAUGCAGUGGUACUUUGUUGCCGCGCUGCUCACCGUCCUCACCAGCUCUCAGGGAAUCUUGACAACCCUUUCUCAAAGCAAUGGAAAAUAUAAGUACGACUAUGCAACUGUUCCGUUUCUUGCUGAAGUAUUCAAGCUAGCAGUAUCCAGUUUACUUCUUUGGAGAGAGUGU